CACCGUGAAGCAUAGACUUUACUGGUAGGUCUUUUUUAAGCUCAGCGCUGUAUGGCAGCCUGCAGCACAAAAGAAAAAAAUCCAUUCCUCUUCAUGGAUUAUAGUUGGAUGACAGCCUCUUGGUAAAGUUCUUAGCUGUCAAGAGUCACAAAACACUUCCAUAAAGCCUGACAGGAUUGUGCUGCUAGUCUGAUCAACUUCAGUGGUUGUGAUUAAGUGUCUCAUUACGCCUCGAAACAACACUUAUGUUUUCUUCUUGUUCCCGUGUGCAGGCGUUCUGCUCGACAUCCAGCGGCACUAUGAGGUAUCCGACAGUGGAGCCGGCUUGUUGCAAACAGCAGUUUGGCAGCUGCUGUUGCCUUGUUGUCACUUGCAGAAGCAAAGGCCGAAUGUGACAUGAGAGGAAACGAUAGGAGAAGAACGAACCACCUGCGACUUCCUCCUUCUUCCUCUCGCACGGCGUCGAGUGUUAAUCUUCUCCGCUAUUGAUUCCCAAAGCCGGGUGAUUUCACUGCAGUGUUGUUCACCGGCCUUUACGCCACCCCACCCCUCCCGCCUCCCUCCCCUGCUGUGAUAAGAAUAGAGCGAUGACCUGAUGAUGCAUUGACAUCACAGCAGUGUGGCUGUGUGUCUCCGUCUCUGGUCAUUUUAUUAGGCCAUGUCUCCAAAGGGGGCAGCUGUUGGGUGACGAUUGGCACGCCGCCUCAGUCGACUUCCUCCCCUUCGCCUCUUGUUGAUCAACCCGCGUCCUGCGGAUGAAGGAAUAAAUACACAACCAGGUCUUUCGCAGACUUUCAUUCGGAUUUGACCUUGCUUGCACUUUCAAGUGCAAACAAAUGUGGAAGACAACCAUGCAAAUCUGAAGCAAAAGUCAGCGGCCAAGCGUUUGGGAGCAUCAACUGUGUGACAAAUUUUCUCCUCUUCUGCAGCCAUGUGACAUCAGCAGAUCAAUCGGAUUGCUCGCAAUCGGACACGUGCGGUCCAUUUGUGUUGCUGAUCUGUUUCCAUCAUUGCCAUCGUAAGGCCAGCAUGCAAAUCGCCACAUGUUGGGCUUGUCGUUAGGUUGUCUGUCCCUGCAGUUGCUGCAGUAACAAGCAGGAAUAGAAAAACUCCUCUCUCUGCGCUCAGCCGCUCUGCGACAGAAAAUGGUUCAAAAAUAAUAAGCACCCCUGGUGUUCCCAGCAAGUUCCUACAUUGCUCAUUUUUGUUUGUUCAUGGUCGGAUAAACCUACCGACUCUCUUCAUUCGUACCAGACUGCUUGCCGUGUUUGGACGCAAGCAACGCGCAAAAGACCAGGCCCCUGUUUGCUCCAGCCAGCCGGGCCGUGUAAUUCUCCCCAGAUGCAGCUCUCGCGUCGACCAGGUAUAGUGGAAACAUUCGCCGCAGCUGCAGAGACGAGUCAUCAGAGUGCCUGCGACACUCAAUAAAACAAAAGGGUUGGCUUAGCACGCCAGCUUCUGCAGGAAUUAGCUGCUCAUUUCAUAGAAACUGUGCUGCAUAUGGGAUUUAUCACGAUGGGACGCAACGCUCUGGUUAGGCGGCGUUGUUGAAAUGUGAGCUGGAAGGGAUUCCUGGAGAAUAACCGGGGAUCAGAAAAUGUCAGGAAUGCAGAAACGUUUGGGGCUCCGGCAUGCAGGGCAGGGGGCGCAGGGGAAAUCCACGACGAGGAAACGUGAUGCACGGGAAUGUGUGAGAAGUUUCAGUCUCUCACAGUGGCUCAGGUGUCCUACUCACACCGGAGUUAUGUGCUGCACCCUCCCACAGCAGUCCUUCAAAACCAUUAGACGGGGAAACAAGGCCGCCACUCCUUUUCUUGAGAACUCGCAAGACAGAAGCGAGAGAAGCUGCAGAGCACCGGAAACUACCAGCUAAAGGUUAUCUGGAUGAUUUGUGUCAAUGUCAAGCCUCCGUAGAGACCGACGACUGCAACAGAACGACACGUUUCGAACAGGUUUUCUGCUCUUUGUGCCCGGGAAGAGAAAAAUGUAAAACAUGCAAAACCAUGCUGGGAAACUCAUCAUCUAUUUACUGGAUUUAAACACAAAGGUGUGAUUGUGUGGUCUGAAAGCGAAAGAAACAUUUUCAGGUCUCCAGUUCGAGUGGAAGGACCGCUGACCAGCUCUGUUUACACUGGCUCUGGAUGCCUCUCAGAAAUAGUUUAUGUUGAACACCACUGGGUAAAUUAAACUUUUGGAUGUUUUGGCCUGGACCUACAUAUCCUUCAGGCUUUUCAUUAGCUUCGUUAACCCCUUUAAGUUUUACCAGCUUUGCAAUGUGCGCAAUAAACAUGAGCGUGAUUUCUGUUUUUCUGAGGAAAAACA